UCAGUCCUAGUCACAGCAUAUUUAUUCAGUAUUCUCCUUCUCUAGCUAUUUUUACAGUAGGAAAAGAAAGACAAGUUUACACAAAAGAACAGAAAGGGGAAGUAACUGACAGAGCUCAUUGCACCUUGACUGUCCCGCAGCCUCCAGACACUAUGUAGAACUGGCAUUGAGAUGGGACAGUUCUAGACAAUCACUUUAAAACAAAUAUAUUUCAUACCAUAUGAAGAAAGCAGAACAAUGUAGGCCCUGCAUCUCUUCUGCACGCAAAUGCCUGUGAAUCAAAGCCUUGACUGAUGCUCUUUGUGGAGAUUAGCCUUCAACAAUCCAAGUAA